rnacentral:rRNA from 1 species
CCUACGGGAGGCAGCAGUGGGGAAUCUUAGACAAUGGGGGCAACCCUGAUCUAGCCAUGCCGCGUGAGUGAUGAAGGCCUUAGGGUCGUAAAGCUCUUUCGCCUGUGAUGAUAAUGACAGUAGCAGGUAAAGAAACCCCGGCUAACUCCGUGCCAGCAGCCGCGGUAAUACGGAGGGGGUUAGCGUUGUUCGGAAUUACUGGGCGUAAAGCGCGCGUAGGCGGAUUAGAAAGUUGGGGGUGAAAUCCCGGGGCUCAACCCCGGAACUGCCUCCAAAACUGCUAGUCUAGAGUUCGAGAGAGGUGAGUGGAACUCCGAGUGUAGAGGUGAAAUUCGUAGAUAUUCGGAGGAACACCAGUGGCGAAGGCGGCUCACUGGCUCGAUACUGACGCUGAGGUGCGAAAGUGUGGGGAGCAAACAGGAUUAGAUACCCUGGUAGUCCACACCGUAAACGAUGAAUGCCAGUCGUCGGAUAGUAUACUAUUCGGUGACACACCUAACGGAUUAAGCAUUCCGCCUGGGGAGUACGGUCGCAAGAUUAAAACUCAAAUGAAUUGACGG